rnacentral:sRNA from 1 species
AAGGGUCGUCAUACCCCCUCACGGGGGCAU